rnacentral:misc_RNA from 1 species
AACGCACCUUGCACCCUUUGGUAUUCCGAAGGGUAUGCCCGUUUGAGUGUCAUUGUAAUCUCACGCCCAAAGUCUUUGCGGACCGAGGGAGGUGGACUUGAGAGCUGCGGUGGUGACAUCGCUCUCUUGAAAUGUAUCAGUAGACUCUGUUCAUGUGUCGCGUCGGUGUGAUAAUUGUCUUCACUGCUCGCUCUCCGGAGUGACGCGCAUGUUCGGAAGGUCCGCUUCGAACCGUCUUCGGACAUCUUUUGACAACUUGACCUCAAAUCGGGUAGGACUACCCGCUGAACUUAA